UACGGGGGGAGCAAGCGUUGUUCGGAUUUACUGGGCGUAAAGGGCGCGUAGGCGGUCAGCACAAGUCAGUUGUGAAAUCUCCGGGCUUAACUCGGAAUGGUCAGGUGAUACUGCUUUGCUAGAGUGCAGAAGGGGCAAUCGGAAUUCUUGGUGUAGCGGUGAAAUGCGUAGAUAUCAAGAGGAACACCUGAGGUGAAGACGGGUUGCUGGGCUGACACUGACGCUGAGGCGCGAAAGCUAGGGGAGCAAACGGG
rnacentral:rRNA from 1 species